rnacentral:misc_RNA from 1 species
CCGAAUGGCCCUCGGGCCGUCGACCCUUCAAACCCGUGGAAGACAGAAGAUUGUGCUUCGACGCCCCGGCGUCGUGUUAAUGCAGUGCCCAGUCCGUCGUCUGAACAGGAAACGAAUGAUUUA